rnacentral:rRNA from 1 species
CAUCGUAAGGCUGGGCUGUGAUGGGGAGCGAAAAUUGUAGUAGCGAAGGUCAUGAUCUCAGACUGCCAAGAAAAGCCUCUAGCCAGGAGAAGGUGCCCGUACCGCAAACCGACACAGGUAGGCGAGAAGAGAAUUCUAAGGCGCGCGGAAGAACUCUCGUUAAGGAACUCGGCAAAAUGACCCCGUAACUUCGGGAGAAGGGGUGCCUCGGUAGGGUGAAUAGCCCGAGGGGGCCGCAGUGAAAAGGCCCAAGCGACUGUUUAGCAAAAACACAGGUCUGUGCGAAGCCGCAAGGCGAAGUAUACGGGCUGACGCCUGCCCGGUGCUGGAAGGUUAAGGGGAGUGGUAAGCCUUCGGGCGAAGCUAUGAACCGAAGCCCCAGUAAACGGCGGCCGUAACUAUAACGGUCCUAAGGUAGCGAAAUUCCUUGUCAGGUAAAUUCUGACCCGCACGAAUGGCGUAACGACUUGGGCGCUGUCUCAACGAGAGAUCCGGUGAAAUUUUAAUACCUGUGAAGAUGCAGGUUACCCGCGACAAGACGGAAAGACCCCAUGGAGCUUUACUGCAGCUUGAUAUUGAAUUUGGGUACGAUCUGUACAGGAUAGGUGGGAGCCGUAGAACUUUGAGCG